rnacentral:rRNA from 1 species
UUGAUCCUGGCUCAGAAUCAACGCUGGCGGCGUGCCUAACACAUGCAAGUCGAACGCGAAAGCCCCGCAAGGGGUGAGUAGAGUGGCAAACGGGUGAGUUACACGUGGGUGAUCUGCCUCAGAGUGGGGGAUAACGACCCGAAAGGGUCUCUAAUACCGCAUAACAUCCUGCCUUUGGAUAGGUGGAGAUCAAAGCUAGUGAUCGCAAGACCUGGCGCUUGGAGAGGAGCCCGCGGCCGAUUAGCUAGUUGGUGAGGUAAUGGCUCACCAAGGCGACGAUCGGUAUCCGGCCUGAGAGGUCGGACGGACACACUGGGACUGAGACACGGCCCAGACUCCUACGGGAGGCUGCAGUGGGGAAUUGUUCGCAAUGGGCACAAGCCUGACGACGCAACGCCGUGUGGAGGACGAAGAUCUUCGGGUCGUAAACUCCUUUCGAUCGGGAAGAAUGGCUCCGGGGUGAAUAGCCCCGGAGAGUGACGGUACCGAGAGAAGAAGCUCCGGCUAACUCCGUGCCAGCAGCCGCGGUAAUAAGGU